UAUUUUAGUCUUGUUAGAGGAACCUGUUUUAUAAUCGAUAAACCACGUAUAUCUUACUUAUUUUAAAUAAUUUGUAUACCGUCAUUAUUAGAUAACUUUCAAAAAAUUAGUUAUUAAAAUUAAAUAAAAUUAAAUAUAUUAGAUCAAGGUGCAGUUAAUAAAUAAGAAAAAAUGGGUUACAAUAAAAAUUUAUUUAAAACGAAUUAUAUAAAUGUAAAAAUAUAUGAAGGAGGAUUUAAUUGUAAUUUUUUUUUAUAAAAUAAUAAUAUGAUAAUAGCUCUAAAAUAU
rnacentral:rRNA from 1 species